rnacentral:rRNA from 1 species
AUUGAACGCUGGCGGCAUGCUUUACACAUGCAAGUCGAACGGUAAGGCCCUUCGGGGUACACGAGUGGCGAACGGGUGAGUAACACGUGGGUGAUCUGCCCUGCACUUCGGGAUAAGCCUGGGAAACUGGGUCUAAUACCGGAUAGGACCACUGCCUGCAUGGGUGGUGGUGGAAAGCUUUUGCGGUGUGGGAUGGGCCCGCGGCCUAUCAGCUUGUUGGUGGGGUGAUGGCCUACCAAGGCGACGACGGGUAGCCGGCCUGAGAGGGUGACCGGCCACACUGGGACUGAGAUACGGCCCAGACUCCUACGGGAGGCAGCAGUGGGGAAUAUUGCACAAUGGGCGCAAGCCUGAUGCAGCGACGCCGCGUGAGGGAUGACGGCCUUCGGGUUGUAAACCUCUUUCAGCACCGACGAAGCGUAAGUGACGGUAGGUGCAGAAGAAGGACCGGCCAACUACGUGCCAGCCGCCGCAGUAA